rnacentral:rRNA from 1 species
UGGGUCUCGCUCGUUGCCUGACUUAACAGGAUGCUUCACAGUACGAACUGACGACGGCCAUGCACCACCUCUCAGCUAAUCCGGCAAAGUCUUCAGCCUGGCCUUCAUAUUGCUGUCGGUCCCGGUAAGAUUUCCGGCGUUGAAUCCAAUUAAACCGCAAGCUCCACCCGUUGUGGUGCUCCCCCGCCAAUUCCUUUAAGUUUCAGCCUUGCGGCCGUACUUCCCAGGUGGCUCGCUUCACGGCUUCCCUACGGCACCGACAACGGUCGCACCGUGGCCGACACCUAGCGAGUAUCGUUUACGGCUAGGACUACCCGGGUAUCUAAUCCGGUUCGUGCCCCUAGCUUUCGUCCCUUGCCGUCAGGUCCGUUCUGGUGAGACGCCUUCGCCACUGGUGGUCCUUCAAGGAUUACAAGAUUUCACCCCUACCCCUGAAGGUACCUCUCACCUCUCCCGGUCCUCAAGCCAAACAGUAUCCCCUAGAAAGCCUGACAGUUAAGCUGCCAGAUUUCCCAAGAGACUUAUCCUGGCCGGCUACAGACCCUUUAGACCCAAUAAUAACGGUUACCACUCGAGCCGCCGGUGUUACCGCGGCGGCUGGCACCGGUCUUGCCCGGCCCUUGCUAUGACAGAUGCUUUUUAGGCAUCUCGACAGCCAGACAUUAUAACCUGGCACUCGAGAUCCCCUUAUCACGGUUGCCAGCAUUGUAAAGUUUUCGCGCCUGCUGCGCCCCGUAGGGCCUGGAUUCAUGUCUCAGAAUCCAUCUCCGGGCUCUUGCUCUCACAACCCGUACCCGUUGUUGGCUAGUAGGUACAUUACACCCACUACUACCUGAUAGGCCGCAGACCCAUCCUUGGGCGGACGAAUCCAUUUUACGCAUAAAGCAUUCCAGCAUAUGUGCGUUAUCCGGAAUUAUCCCCAGUUUCCCGGGGUUAUGCCGGACCCAAGGGCAGGUUAUCCACGUGUUACUGAGCAGUACGCCAUGUUCACGAAGAACAUAUGACUCGCAUGGCUUAGGCGAACACCGAUAGCAGUAACCUCUGGCAGGA